GCAAGUCUGGUGCCAGCAGCCGCGGUAAUUCCAGCUCCAAUAGCGUAUAUUAAAGUUGUUGCAGUUAAAAAGCUCGUAGUUGAAUUUCGGGAUCAGUACGCCGGUCGUGCCUUCGGUAUGCACUGGUGUCACUGGUUUCUCCCUUCUGAAGAACCAUCAUGCCAUUCAGUUGGUGUGGCGGGGAAUCAGGACUGUUACUUUGAAAAAAUUAGAGUGUUUAAAGCAGGCUCGCGCUUGAAUACAUUAGCAUGGAAUAAUGAAAUAGGACGUUUGACCCUAUUUUGUUGGUUUCUAGGAUCGACGUAAUGAUUAAUAGGGAUAGUUGGGGGCAUUAGUAUUCAAUUGUCAGAGGUGAAAUUCUUGGAUUUAUUGAAGACUAACUACUGCGAAAGCAUUUGCCAAGAAUGUUUUCAUUAAUCAAGAACGAAAGUUAGGGGAUCGAAGACGAUCAGAUACCGUCGUAGUCUUAACCAUAAACUAUGCCGACUAGGGAUCGGAUGAUGUUAAUUUUUUAAUGACUCAUUCGGCGCCUUACGGAAAC
rnacentral:rRNA from 1 species